UCACAAAGGUGAAUUCACUUGCUCAAGAUCGAACACACACAAAAUGGAGGUGGUUCAAACCCAGGUGUGUCUGACUGCAGAGCCUGUGUUCUUCCCAGUAGAGAUGUGGAUGCAGCACAAAUGGUAGAAAGGACCUGAGACUUAGUCAGAAGACCUCAGUUCACCCAAGGUAUCUGCUAUGCCCAAGGCCUCUGCUCAGUGCUGAGGAAACAAGCAUGGACAAGAUGUGGCCUCCACCCUGAGGAGCUCCUAAAUCUAGGACAGAGUAAAUCUGUUAGAAAUGUCUUCUCUGCACAUAAUUUAAGCUCUACCAACUGUUAACUUCUUUUCAUUUAUCCAAGUUUUGCCAGGUACUAUACCAAUAAAAAAAGACU
rnacentral:antisense_RNA from 1 species